rnacentral:lncRNA from 1 species
GCCGGCUGGUUCCCCUCUCUUCCCCACAGCCCCUCCGCACUACCCCUGGCUAAAGGCGGCCCGGCCGAGGCUCCGAGAGCAAGUGAGUAAAAAAGGGGCGUCUUCUAGCCCCCCCCCGCCCCCGCAAACUAGGCCGGGGAGUGGGGGCGGAAUGAACCGAGUGGGCUGGAGUUGGCGGGAGGGAGCUUUUCGUCCCUUUCCCUCUCCUGGCCGCACGGCCUCCCCCUGCUCGCCGGUGACUUGCAACGCGAAGCUCAAGUCGAUAAAGAUCUUCCUUGGGGUCUGAUUUAGAGGCCGGGGUACAACCCAGAUCCUGCGAGCCGCCGAGUAGGUUAAGGUGGUCCGAAGACUGUUCGAGAAGAAGUAUCCAUCCUUGCUUAAGGUGCCGCGCCCUGCUGAGGUGACACAAGUGCGUCUGCAUGCAUGCGGUGGGGUGUCGGGGCCCCCAGUCCUGCGGGCAGGGCCCGGACGCCCCUUCCGAGGUCCGACCUGUGCCCUGGAACCCAGUUGGACCCCGCCCGCACCUUCCCGGAACGCCAGAGCGCACCCCUCCUCAGGUGGAGGACAGAGGAAGUUGGCCGCAGAAUCAGCGUUCAUUUUAAAUGAAAAAAAAAAAAAAAAAAAAAUCCUGGGGAGAUUUCCCAGGUGGUGUAAAUACAGAGGCUACCGAAGCAUUAGUUCUGGAGGAAGAAUUCGUAGCAGGUUUGCGGGAGUCCCGAAGCGGGAUGCCCUAUGAACCCGAUGUACCUAGAUAAUAACCUUUCCCCCAGCUAGUCGAAGUCUGUGUACAAGUGUUUCGAAAAAGAUCUGUACCUCUUCAAGAGUGGUGACCUGACGCUUACGCGAAGCCCGCAAUUUGGCGUGAGGGUGAGCCGAUGCAGGGUUGCACACAAAAUGUGCCUUGUGCCCAUUGGAGUAAGAGGGUGGCAGACUUUCUGGUAGAUGGGAUUUUGAAGAAGAGAUAAGGCAGUUUUCCCAUUUGGGCGAUGGAAGAAUGUUCCCCAUAUUUGGAUUUGCUUCACUUCUAGUACAUAAGCUUCGCCAAACUAACGUGAAAGUCGACGAUGGUGGAAGUGGACAGGGGAUUAAGCUAAUUGCUGUUAAAGUGACCUCAGUGGCCAGAUAGGGCUUCUGCCCCUUUCAGUUUCUGGACCUGGAUUUACUGGUGGAGGUAGGUUUUUCUCCCCGGAGAGGUGACCGCUUCAAAUACCUGAAAAAAAUCUGCUGCGAUAUUUGGUCCGGUACUCAGCUCAGUGUAGGUCUGGGAUGGUAUCCUUAACAUUUCUCCCAGGGCCUGUUGUAUGUACAUGAGUUCUUUCUAUGUGUGAUCACAAAUGCUACUUCUGAUCCCACAGACUGCUUUAUCUGACAUGCUUCCUACAUCAAGGACUUUUAAUAUAAAAUAAAUCAUAGAACUAUAAGGACUUAAGACUUUAAACUCUCAUUUAAUAAACAGGAGAAAACAGACAUUCCAUCAAGAUUGAAUCAUCAUCUUACAAUCUCAUCUAACUAGGUAGCUUAAAAAAACAGGAUUUAGGGGCCCAAUCUAGGUUGGUUUCCACUAUCCAAUCCUUUACUCCCAAAUAACCAGUUUUAUGUUCUAUUUCCAAAACAAAACAAAAAAAAAAACCUUUUAAAAUUAUAUUUCAGUGGCUUGAGCUCCGACUCCAAGUGAUGAAUUCAUCUUAGUAGUUUUGGAACAGGCCUUCCUUAUGGUUUGUACUUCAAGACUAAGGACACUUAAAAGGUAAAUUAAUUUUGGUAAAAAAAAUUAUGUGGCUGUUAUAAUCUGUGACCCUGUGUUUUAAGAAAUAGUUUAUAAAAGAUUACUGAAAUGAGACACACAUUUUCUUUCUUGUUACAUGGGAGCUAGAAUUGAUCCCAUGUAUUGUUAGUCAUGACGAGUCAAUAAAUCGGGUCACUGAUGAUAUAACUCAGCUUAUUUAUUCUCAGUGUCACUGGUAUAGUCACUAAGCAGUUUUAUACAAGUAAAGUCACUUCUGAUACUUUUUUUUUUCUUCCGCAGAGGGAAGUUGCAUAGUUCACCUGUAGCCAACUUGACAGCAUAAUUUUUAGGAGUCAAGAAUCGACAUUGGGUUAUUUCUUAAGAUUGAGCCUUGAAAGUCCACUUGGAUGUGACGCAGCUCUGUGCACACUUGCACGUGAAAAUGAUCUUCCAUCAAGGAGCUCUCCCUCUUCAGCUAAAUCAACAGCAGUCGUUCAAAGAAGAAGGGACCCCCUAUCUGACCAAACUCAGCCAGACUAAUCAAAUAAGUCUUUGUGAGCAAGGAAUAAAGCUGCACUAGGGUGGCCCCAUCACACCUUUCUUGAGCAGCUCCCUCUAAGAUUGCCACCUACAUGCAGGUCAUACCCUGUACGAAGGAUGGAUGGAAGAUUCUUGUGAACAGAUUAGGUUUAUUGUAAAAGAUGAAAUAUUUGACCAAAAUUGAAGUUAAUUUCAUGGAUAAAGUUCAAAACAUUACUGUAGAUAUGAAUUAUGUUUGUAUGUAUUUAUAUAUGUAUGUAUAUAUAGUUAUGUGGUUACAUGUUUCUAUGUAUCAGAAAUUAGCACAACUUAAACUUAGUAAAUGUUGAAAAUAAAACUAUUUUGGAUAUUGGAAUCA